AUGGGACGGCCCGCUGGGCUGUUCCCGCCCCUAUGCCCUUUUUUGGGUUUCCGGCCAGAGGCAUGCUGGGAGCGUCACAUGCAAAUUGAGCGUGCACCCAGCGUUCCGCCCUUUCUACGCUGGGCCGGUUAUCGACCCGGCCCAGUGCGCAGGCGCGGGAAAGUUGAACUAAUAAAGUUUGUACGAGUUCAGUGGAGGAGACCGCAAGUUGAGUGGAGGAGGCGGCGGUGGGGCCCCGGACCAGGUGCCUCCAUGGCAGGCUCUGAAGAGCUGGGGCUCCGGGAAGACACGCUGAGGGUCCUAGCUGCCUUCCUUAGGCGUGGUGAGGCUGCCGGGUCUCCUGUUCCAACUCCACCUAGGUAAGAGGAGUGGCCCUUCUCCCCCAGGGGCCAGCAUUUGAGGCUCCCUCCUAACUCUUGCUCCUGGUCUCAGUCUGUCUCCUCUCUUUAUAUCUGGCUCUAUUCUCUGUCUUUGGGGUUUUGGAGAGAGGUCCUCAGCGGGGGAGGGAGGGAGUUGGGGAAAGAGACUGCUUGCAGGGGAUCUCUGGUGGGGUCAGUCUCUGAAGUCCUCCUCUCCAGAAGCCCUGCCCAAGAAGAGCCAACAGACUUCCUGAGCCGCCUUCGAAGAUGUCUUCCCUGCUCCCUGGGGCGAGGAGCAGCCCCCUCUGAGUCCCCUCGGCCUUGCUCUCUGCCCAUCCGCCCCUGCUAUGGUUUAGAGCCUGGCCCAGCUACUCCAGACUUCUAUGCUUUGGUGGCCCAGCGGCUGGAACAGCUGGUCCAAGAGCAGCUGAAAUCUCCGCCCAGCCCAGAAUUACAGGGUCCCCCAUCGACAGAGAAGGAAGCCAUACUGCGGAGGCUGGUGGCCCUGCUGGAGGAGGAGGCAGAAGUCAUUAACCAGAAGGAGGGCAUCCUGGCUGUUUCACCCGUGGACUUGAACUUGCCAUUGGACUGAGCUCUUUCUCAGAAGCUGCUACAAGAUGACACCUCAUGUCCCUGCCCUCUUCGUGUGCUUUUCCAAGUCUUCCUAUUCCACUCAGGGCUGUGGGGUGGUGGUUGCCCUACCUGUUUUUGCCAAAAAUAAAUUGUUUAAAACUUUUCUUAUUAAAAACGUUACAAAGUA
rnacentral:misc_RNA from 1 species